GGAGGGUGCGAGCGUUAAUCGGAAUAACUGGGCGUAAAGGGCACGCAGGCGGCUAUUUAAGUGAGGUGUGAAAUCCCCGGGCUUAACCUGGGAAUUGCAUCUCAGACUGGGUAGCUAGAGUACUNUAGGGAGGGGUAGAAUUCCACGUGUAGCGGUGAAAUGCGUAGAGAUGUGGAGGAAUACCGAAGGCGAAGGCAGCCCCUUGGGAAUGUACUGACGCUCAUGUGCGAAAGCGUGGGGAGCAAACAGGAUUAGAUACCCUGGUAGUCCACGCUGUAAACGCUGUCGAUUUGGGGAUUGGGCCUUGAGCUUGGUGCCCGAAGCUAACGUGAUAAAUCGACCGCCUGGGGAGUACGGCCGCAAGGUUAAAACUCAAAGG
rnacentral:rRNA from 1 species